rnacentral:rRNA from 1 species
GACUACACGGGUAUCUAAGCCUGUUUGCUCCCCACGCUUUCGCUCCUCAGCGUCAGGAAAGGUCCAGAGAACCGCCUUCGCCACCGGUGUUCCUCCUGAUAUCUGCGCAUUCCACCGCUCCACCAGGAAUUCCGUUCUCCCCUACCUCCCUCAAGUCUGCCCGUAUCGAAAGCAAGCUUGGAGUUAAGCCCCAAGUUUUCACUUCCGACGCAACAAACCGCCUGCUGGCACGUAGUUAGCCGGUGCUUCUUCUCCAGGUACCGUCACAUUCGUCCCUGGUGAAAGCGGUUUACAACCCGAAGGCCUUCAUCCCGCACGCGGCGUUGCUGCAUCAGACUUUCGUCCAUUGUGCAAUAUUCCCCACUGCAGCCCCCCGUAGG